GAACCUACCUAUUUCCUGCUUCCGUGGUAAUCCGUGAUGUGAAGAUGGGCGUUGAGCAGAAAACGAAACCUCUCUAAAACCACCGCAACUCCCUCGCUAGAGUAUGUAGGCUAUAGGAAAUACAUGCUGUUCCAACAGGCUCUGACCAUGCCGUAACCUGCCUCUUCAGCACCUUGGCCUUGCCCUGAUAUGUCUGGAGGGUAUGGUUUCAUGCUCAUCCAUCUGUAUUCCUCUUGACUGUAUCACAUCAACACUAGAGCGUAAGACAAGUAAGGGGCAGACAAGCUACUGCGCACAGCGGUACAGUAUCCCUGUACAUAGAGGGCCAGAACAUUUGACCAGAGAGUCCAGAGAGACCUCUUCCAAAUGACUGCUGACAGCUCCUCUCCUGACAGCAGCUCCUGAAGAGUCAGCCAGGAUGUCCAGGAAGAUAGAGACUGAAAACAUCAAUGGGCAAAUAGCACUCAGGAUGUCAUAGUUUGACCAUUGUUUAAAGCCAAGUACGAGUUGUACUCUGGAGCAAGGCCAGAACUGAGCACAUGGAACAUGAAAAGGGACAACUGGGUGGAUUUAGCACUCCGACAAUUACAACAGUAUAUGUGGAUCUCGACAACACCUGGGACAUACAUGGGAAAACAAAUCUUUGCAAAAGGCACAAUGCUGGAUUUAUGGCAGUGGUGACGAGGCAGAACAAGCAUCAGGUGCACUUCAUUAUGCACUGCCAGCAGCGCUGUCUUGUCACAACUCCUCUCAGCCGCCUGCUUAUGUCUUGAAGACAACAGGUAUGUUCCAUUCACCCAAAUGUGCCCUGAAAAAAAGGAAUUCACAGACAAUUCGGCCAUCUUAAGUGAACAUUUAAACCAUAGGGAACAUUUACAUUUAGUCGAAUGGGCUCUGCAAAUGACAUGCAAAAAAGGUACAAAAGCUUUUUUACAUUAUUUACUCCUAAAGGGUGUAUAUAAGUACCUUAAAGCUAUAUAUUAGUACCUACAGUAUACAUUUUAGUACUUAAAUGAUACAUAAAUGCACCUUUUGAAAACGUACCACUCUGGUGACAGAACUAUUUUUAGUAUUGAUAGUGAGAAAUGGUCAUGUAGAAUAAGGCAUUAAUAUGUGCUUAAUUACUACUAAUAAAUGGCUAAUAUUCUAUUAAUAUGCAUGUUAAUUAGCAACUAGGUCAGAGACCCUAAAAUAAAGUUACCAACUUAACUAGCCACUCUUUACACAAAUGUUCUUACAUAAGCUUAAAAGUCCAAUGCCCAUAAAGAUACUAAUGAUUAGUAAAUGUUUAUAAACAUUUACAGAUGAUGAACAGUUUCCACAGACUGGGUACUGCAAAAACAUGAACACAUUAUUAAUAAAUGAUUUGUAACGAUGAGUAAAUAGGGUGAAUUUAGGUCAUUUGAGACAGUUUUUGGCAUUGAGAUGACUGCUUAUAAAGUUAUUAAUGAUUAGUAAAUGUCUAUAAACAUUUACAAAUAAUGAAAAGUUUCAACUUUGGAUGGAGUACUGCAAAAACAUGAACAAAUGAUUAACAAAUGUUACACUCUAAAAAUGUUGUAUUUUAUGUUUUUCUUUUACCCAAAUGCUGGGUUCAGCCCGUUGGGUCAUUUUAUUAGGUUGUUUUUAAUAUUUUUACCCAGGUGCUGGGUUAUUUUUUUUAACCCAAAUGCUGGGUCAUUUUAUUGGGUUAUUUUUAAAUAUUUUCUUUACCCAGGUGCUGGGUAGUUUUUCCUGUAACUAAGUUGCUGGGUCAUUUGAGACACUUUUUGCCAUUGAGAUGACUGCUCAACAAAUGUUACACUAAAAAUGCUGGAUUAUUAUUAUUAUUUUUUUUUAACCCAAAUGCUGGGUUCAGCCUGUUGGGUCAUUUUAUUGGGUUGUUUUUUAAUAUUUUUACUCAGGUGCUGGGUUAUUUUUUUUAACCCAAAUACUUGGUUCAAGCUUGUUGGGUCAUUUUAUGGGUUAUUUUUAAUAUUUUUUUACCCAGGUGCUGCGUAGUUUUUCUUGUAACCAAGUUGCUGGGUCAUUUUUAACACUGGGUUAUUUUUUAUACCCAACCGCUGGGUUGAGCCUGAAUACAGAGUUACAGUCAGACAUCAGGCUUUUUGUGUCCACUACAGGAGAGAGCGGUUCUCAGCGCCGACAGUUUGGUGCACUUCUUCAGCGAAAUAAAAGUUUGUAUACAUUUUAUUUAAUUUAAAAGUCUUAAAUGUGGUGUAAAUUAUAUUAUUUUACACAACGCAACAUAAGGAUGAGAUAUCAGUCAGCUGAGAAUGAGAAUUAGCACGAGAAUUAGCGCUAUUUUGGUAAAGAGUGAUUACAGAGAAUGGUUGAAUAGACUUAAAUUAAAAUGCUACUUUUAAAUGUUAAAUUUUUGGUGUCUAAAAUGCUUGUUAAAUGAGUUUAAAUGUAUGUAAUAUUGU